rnacentral:lncRNA from 1 species
CAAGUUCACAACCGCAAGGUAGUCCAUGAGUCUCUCUCAACAAGCAAUCGCAUCCGCCGUAGGACUUCAUUCUUAUAUGUUCAUCGUCGAUGAGCUGCAGGCAUUUGUUUGACACAAAUCCUCUAAUAUUUGUGUAAAAUGGGAACAUGAAAAUGUGAUCAAUUCUGUGAAUACUGCGCUCAAACGAUGCUAAUAUUUCAGUAUGUCGAUUACAUGUCAAACUAUGCGACGCA